rnacentral:rRNA from 1 species
AUUGAACGCUGGCGGCAUGCCUUACACAUGCAAGUCGAACGGCAGCACGGGAGCAAUCCUGGUGGCGAGUGGCGAACGGGUGAGUAAUAUAUCGGAACGUGCCCAGUCGUGGGGGAUGACGCAGCGAAAGCUGUGCUAAUACCGCAUACGAUCUAAGGAUGAAAGCGGGGGAUCGCAAGACCUCGCGCGAUUGGAGCGGCCGAUAUCAGAUUAGCUAGUUGGUGGGGUAAAGGCCCACCAAGGCGACGAUCUGUAGGUGGUCUGAGAGGACGACCAGCCACACUGGAACUGAGACACGGUCCAGACUCCUACGGGAGGCAGCAGUGGGGAAUUUUGGACAAUGGGCGCAAGCCUGAUCCAGCAAUGCCGCGUGCAGGAUGAAGGCCUUCGGGUUGUAAACUGCCUUUGUACGGAACGAAACGGCCCUUUCUAAUACAGGGGGCUAAUGACGGUACCGUAAGAAUAAGCACCGGCUAACUACGUGCCAGCAGCCGCCGUAAGAC